GGGCCCGCACAAGCAGCGGAGCAUGUGGUUUAAUUCGAAGCAACGCGAAGAACCUUACCUAGACUUGACAUCUCCUGAAUUACCCUUAACCGGGGAAGCCCUUCGGGGCAGGAAGACAGGUGGUGCAUGGUUGUCGUCAGCUCGUGUCGUGAGAUGUUGGGUUAAGUCCCGCAACGAGCGCAACCCUUAUUUUUAGUUGCUACCAUUCAGUUGAGCACUCUAAAGAGACUGCCCGGGUUAACCGGGAGGAAGGUGGGGAUGACGUCAAAUCAUCAUGCCCCUUAUGUCUAGGGCUACACACGUGCUACAAUGGUGAGAACAAAGAGACGCGAGACCGCGAGGUGGAGCAAAUCUCAUAAAACUCAUCCCAGUUCGGAUUGCAGGCUGAAACUCGCCUGCAUGAAGCCGGAGUUGCUAGUAAUCGCGAAUCAGCAUGUCGCGGUGAAUACGUUCCCGGGCCUU
rnacentral:rRNA from 1 species